UACAGAGGUGGCAAGCGUUGUUCGGAAUUACUGGGCGUAAAGGGCGCGUAGGCGGUUCGUUAAGUCCUGUGUGAAAUCCCCCGGCUCAACUGGGGAACUGCACAGGAAACUAGCGGGCUUGAGUUCGGGAGAGGGAAGCGGAAUUCCGGGUGUAGCGGUGAAAUGCGUAGAUAUCCGGAGGAACACCGGUGGCGAAGGCGGCUUCCUGGACCGACACUGACGCUGAGGCGCGAAAGCU
rnacentral:rRNA from 1 species